UCUUCGGAGAUGUGGGUGGUCACGCUGAUCCCAGACGAGCCCCCAAAUGAAAGAUUCCGAGUGGAGUCCCUUGCUCAGAUCUCAGGACAAUAGCAGACACCCAAGAAUUCACAAUACACC
rnacentral:pre_miRNA from 7 species